GAGGGCGGCCCCUCAUCCUCCUGGAGUAAUAGUCCCUGACAUUUAUCGAACGCUCUUCUCGUGCCAGACACUGUCCUGAGCACUUGACAUGUAUUAACGAUUUUAAACCUCACAACAACCCUAUUAGAGCAUGCCCUUGUCACUUUGGCCUGAGUCCCAGAAUGAGAAGUUACAUGGAGCAGACCUGAACAAGAUUCACAACCUGGAACAGAAUGACUGCAGCCAAUCCACAAACCUUGCUGCCUUGAAGGACGAGGGGUAUCUGCUGCUCAGGCCUCAGGAAUGGACGCAUAGGCUUCAGGCCCAUGAGGACCUCCUGGACUAAGAGCCAGUCUCACUGCCACCUGUCAGAGCCUUCUUCAAGUGCGUAAACAGAGGGGCAGGACUCACCUUCUUUGUGCUGCCAGGGCUAGAGCUAUCCUUUCUCCCCAC